rnacentral:rRNA from 1 species
CGCACCGUAAACGAUGAUUACUCGUUGUUGGCAAUAUGACCGUCAGCGACCAAGCGAAAGCGAUAAGUAAUCCACCUGGGGAGUACGCCGGCAACGGUGAAACUCAAAGGAAUUGACGGGGGCCCGCACAAGCGGAGGAGCAUGUGGUUUAAUUCGAUGAUACGCGAGGAACCUUACCUGGGCUUGAAAGUUAGCGACCGGUCCUGAAAGGGAUCUUCCAGCAAUGGCGCGAAACUAGGUGC